UGCGUAGGUGGGCAGGUAAGUCAGUGGUGAAAUCUCCGGGCUUAACUCGGAAACUGCCAUUGAUACUAUCUGUCUUGAAUACCGUGGAGGUCAGCGGAAUAUGUCAUGUAGCGGUGAAAUGCUUAGAUAUGACAUAGAACACCAAUUGCGAAGGCAGCUGGCUACACGAAUAUUGACACUGAUGCACGAAAAGCGUGGGGAUCAAACA
rnacentral:rRNA from 1 species